UCUACCUUAAAAAGAAGCAUAAAUUUUGGACAUGCAUGAAACAGUUGAAUCAUAGAUAAGUGAAUGGGUUUGAGUUGAAAUCUUAUUACUACACAAUCAAAUCUAAAUUUAACUUUCCAGCAUCCAUCUUAGAGGUAUGCGAUUCAGAGAUUUCUUCAGGUUGUUGAUGCAUCGAUUCUGAUUUCUUUAGUACAAGGAGCAAAAUAACGUUCUGUUCUGACGCGUAGGCAUCUGCUAUGUAUUCGGCUUGCUAGAUCUUCCAGGGAGGAAUGGCUACCGGAAGCACUCACUGGGAUAUUCCGCAUGAGUGGGCUAGUAGGAGCCAGGAAAACCCGAUGUUUCUAUCAAUUGCAUGCAAUCGUAAACUUAGUAAGCUGUGCAGUUGGGUUUUAUGUAAAGUCUAUUGAAGAUCAAGGAUCAGAGAUUCUAUCCUACAAGAUGGAAAGAAUGAGACUUGAGCGUUGAAAGAGGUAUUUGCCGAUAAGACAGCAACUUAUCUCGGUAAAGAUGCUUCAACUUCAAUUUAUUGUAAGAUUCAUCUUAUUUUGUAAUCUAUACAGUAACUAAACUAGAUGCGUUGGGACUUUCGCACUUAAAA